AUUGAACGCUGGCGGCAGGCCUAACACAUGCAAGUCGAACGGUAACAGGAAACAGCUUGCUGUUUCGCUGACGAGUGGCGGACGGGUGAGUAGUGUCUGGGAAACUGUCUGAUGGAGGGGGAUAACUACUGGAAACGGUAGCUAAUACCCCAUAACGUCGCAAGACGAGAGAGGGGGACCUUCUGGCCCCUUGCCAUCUUGUGUGACCAGAUGGGAUUAGCUAGUAGGGGGGGUAACGGCUCACCUAGGCGACGAUCCCUAGCUGGUCUGAGAGGAUGACCAGCCACACUGGAACUGAGACACGGUCCAGACUCCUACGGGAGGCAGCAGUGGGGAAUAUUGCACAAAGGGCGCAAGCCUGAUGCAGCCAUGCCGCGUGUAUGAAGAAGGCCUUCGGGUUGUAAAGUACUUUCAGCGGGGAGGAAGGGCGUAAAGUUAAUACCUUUACUCAUUGACGUUACCCGAAGAAGAAGCACCGGCUAACUCCGUG
rnacentral:rRNA from 1 species